rnacentral:rRNA from 1 species
UACGUAGGCAGCGAGCGUUGUUCGGAAUUACUGGGCGCAAAGAGUGUGUAGGCGGUGCCUUAAGUUCGGUGUGAAAUCUCCCGGCUCAACUGGGAGGGUGCGCCGGAAACUGGGGUGCUCGAACGUGGGAGAGGAAAGCGGAAUUCCUGGUAUAGCGGUGAAAUGCGUAGAUAUCCGUAGGAACAUCCGAGGCGAAGGCGGCUCGCUGGAUCACAACUGACGCUGAGGGACGAAAGCUAGGGGAGCAAACAGG